UGAGGGUCUCUGCCUUUCUUUCUUUCACCCGUCUCUGUCUCCGGCUGGCGCUGCUGGGACGGGCUGGCGGAGGGAGGCGAAGGCUGAGCAGGAUAAGGACCGAGCCGGAGGGGAUAGCGGAGCGGGCAGGCGCUAGCGUACGGCGGGGCUGGGUUUUUUUUCCCGCUGGCUAAAGGAGCCACGGGCCUGCUCCCUCGCGGGGCAGGCUACCACCAACACCACCAGUUCGUCCUCGUCCUGCUGCUGCGCCGGCGGCGGCGGACCCCGUGCACCCUCCUCGAGCACGAGCCGCCGCGGCAGGAGGCGGUGCCCCGGCGGCUGACCGCGCGGCAGCGGCGGCUCGACGCGCGGGCGAGGGGCACGAGGAAGAGCGGGUUCCUUACGCUUCGUUUUAAAAGUCUCUAAGUUCGUGCGAUGAGACGUACGCUACGAACCAAACUCCUCGAAGCGUUCGUUUCUCAACGACUUAACUUUUCCCUCGACUCCUUUAGUCUUUCAAAAUAGCCCAGGAACGUCAGACACUAGCUCUCGGAGUCGUUAUCGUUUGUACUAUUACCAUUAUUGAAUCCUACAGUGUGACUUAGUACAAGUGUGUGACUUUUACGUCGACUAUGAUGAAGGAGCUCGUUUCUUAACAGGUUUCUGUCUAGUAGGCGACGAUCAAAGUGUCUCCUUCGUUCGUUGUCAGUUUUUAGAGUCUUUCAAGUCUUAUGUAGUCGUCUCUGUAAUAGUUUCGGGGUACGACUUUUCUUCGAGACACGGUUUCUACCAAACGAAACCCCGAGAUCUUUCUUUUCCCCUAACUCCCUAUUUUCCCGAUAAGACUACCGACAACUAUCAUCGUCUCUACCACUUUUAUGUAGAUGCGGUACGUAUGUCCCUCUCCCAAGGAGACUCCCGACGUACUUCUUUAACUUUUGAGGUUUCUGUUUCGGACCACAUAGAUACACGUUUCGAGGUACGCAUGUCUCUCUCCAAGGGAGACUUCCGACGUAGUUCCUUGACUUUUGAGGUUUCUAUCUUGGACCACAUAGACACACACUCCCUCGUUUUGGUUUUAACCGUCUAUAAUACUUAUCAUAUAGGUGAGUUCCACUGACAUUCUACAACGUUGUGGUUUAACUAUAGGUCGCCUUCUCUCGAUCUAUGUUCUUCUACUAGGCAGUCGUAUACCUGAAGGCUUAGGAAGCAAGUUUCUAGUUCUCACCACGAUAGAGGAGACGGUUCCUCGAGGAUUUUCUGUACGAUCACAAACACUUAUUACAGGAAUGUAAAAAAGGUUUCCGGUGUGACCUCGUGUACCGACGUUAGCUUGAAGCUCCAGAGUAUACGUUUUGCACCGUUGUCUCAAGUCAACAAGAGAGGUACUUAACACUUCGCCGUCCCUAUCGAUCACUGGGACAUUAGUUCUUCUGGUUCCGUUCCAAGCGAUCACCGGGACAUUAGUUCUUCUGACGACGACGUCACUAUCGACGACUCGGACAUAAUUUCUUCUGGUACCAUCGCUAUCGAUCACUCGGACAUUAUUUCUUCUGUUACCGACCCUAUCGUUCACUCGGACACUACUUCUUCUGGCCCCGUCCCUAUCGAUCACUCCGGCAUUAGUUCUUCCGGCGACCUUCCCAUCGUUCACUGGGGCAUUCGUUCUUCCGCCGUCGUCCCCGGUGAUAACGGGGAUGUAGGUUCUUCUAAAGAGCUUGUAACGACGGACAUGCAGUACACGGAGCACUACGUUUCUCUUCGUUCCAAAGGAGUUCCCUCUGACCUUCGUGGCAGUCAGUCCCACUCUCGCUCUGGUCCCUGCAGGUGCGGCUACGUCGCCGUUGUCGACUCCUUCUUUGACAACUCUCUUCACGCGGUCGGCGGUUCUUCGCUCCCCAGCCCGCCGGAGGUUUCUCACCAGUCUUCGCACGACGUGGCGGCGGCGUUCUGUCAGGAUCGUUUCCGUCCUUCUCCUCAGCUGCCACUGUUCCUCUUCGCUGCGCCGCCUAUACGUCUUCACAACACAUGUUUAGGAUGUUCCUCCAGGAUCUCAUCGAGGUAGGCCACAACACAUGGUGGGACAGUUUCUGAUCCAGUCCCUUAGUCCUACAAAACAUUGUCCUUCCUCACCAUCAAAAGGACCACAAAACAAGUUCCAGUCGAUCUACUUCGCGUCGAAAAACGGACAUCUCUACACUAGGCUCAACAAUCCGCGAUAUGUACACAGACACAAUAUAUUGACAUACAUUAUGGGUAUCUUGAAAGCAACCAGUUCAUAUACCGUAGCGUCUUAAAACCUCUGUUCACAACUACAGACAUUCUCAGUAAACAAAAACCAAGCCCCUGACCUCGUUCUAACAGUUCUCAUCAACAAAAAAACUCACCAUUCUCAUCAAAAAAAAUCACAUCUCACCAUUCUCAUUACAUGAAACAGUUCUGAGCUCUCAUCAUAACUUUAGCUUCGUUGACCACCCAGCCCGGGAGGUGUAAGGACCCGGCGCGCCCCCCCUGCUCCCUCCCUUGGUUCUUUGUUUGACUCGCCUUUUGGGCCAGCACCGUCCGUCGGGUCGGCUAUGCCCGACGAGCGUAGCGCGUUGGGGGUAGCGGACACUGACUCGACCGCCGUAGUGGGGCCGCGACGCAGAGGGAGGAGAGGAGACAGUCAGCCCAGCAGCAGUGGAGCGCACCGCGACGACGCUCACUGCCCACGCCCACCCUUCCGCGGUGUGCAGCGGGAAGGAGACUUGCAGCGGGCGGGCGGGCGGGCGGGCGGGCGAGGUCGCCGGCGCAGACCGAGGCGGAGGCACGGGCACGGAAAGGGUUAGAGAGAUGUCUCGUAAAGGAGGAGGGGGAGGUGCUCUAUCGUCGCCGCGGGCACGGGCACGGGAGGCGCGCCUCCAGGUGGCGAGCAGCGAGCAGGCCGGCCAACGGGGUAGGCGGAGGCGCCCAAAGUACUUCUCGCUGUUCAUCACGGGUCACCCUAUUCUUACCAGUGUCCUCGAUAGUGACGAGAUUCUACUCCGACGCCGACGCAGACGACCAAGACACGAACUACUAUUAGGAUAAACACCAGAUGUUGUACCGUUCGAUGGUUGCGUCUGUCUGUCACAACCUACUUCUGCGAGGGGGCAAACUAUGCUAUUACCCCAGACUGUCCCGACGACAAUUCCAUAGGCCCUGACCCUCUCGAUUACGGUUCCACAGUGUGUCUCGACGAAGAUGACGAUCCCAGCCCAAAAACGGAGUACCAUAUCACCUCGGAAUGAGGCUGUACCUCGAGUUCGGUAAUACCGAGUGUUCUUCGCACGUUAGUGUCCUCAGAUUGGUCUUACUGUCCACGAACUAACGAUAGGGACGACCAUAGUUAGUCUUCUUUUCGCAUCUACGAGAAUACUUCUUCUCUUGAAAUGUCGAUAUAACAAGGUGAUGCUACCCUUCCAGUUGCUCACCUUACUAGAUGGUACCUCGUUUUCACACUAUGUGUAGCGACGAAGAUUAGUCUGUUUUACCACCAAACGAUUUUCCAAGGAGGUAGGACGGCAGCAGAGCUACAUGUUCAUAUAUAAAGAAACCCUACUUCUAGAACUUCAUCUAUUAAAAUUGGGUUCUUCCAUAUACACAACGUACUUGGGACCAUAACAAGAAUUUGGACAGUAAUUUUUAUACGGAUCACGGUUCCAUAGUCAGUACCUUACACAAGUCUCACGUUACAUAAGUCGAUAAUUUAGGACCAGGUCCGUUGAUGUCGGACGUUCAUAUUGUUACGUCAAGACUGUAACGUCUUAGUUAACAACAGACAACGACGGACCAUACACGACGUCGUUUCAAUAUAGACAAAAAUCUUACUACGUUGAUUAAACACAUAAUGUAGACCUUACAGCUGUAACCUCACAGAACUAAGAUUACAAGAGGGGGGCAUCUAUUAAACUAGACAACUAAGAGACAUGGUUAAACGGAUUGUAACAUUAAACCUCGUCCAUGAACUUAUAUCACUUUAGUCUUUCCGACCUCUAUAGAGUUGGACCAGAACUGGGAUUCAAUAGACUUUAAGUAGUAGGCUAUUGACAAGCAUUUUUUUGUCCGUUAAAGGUGUCUUCUCAGUCAGCCCGAUUAUUUCUAACAAGUUCUCUUCCCGGUGGAACAAGACCUACCCAGCUCCCGUACCGUGGACAAAAGAGCUUUAGACGAACCGUUACACGAACCGUAGAGUAGGUCUUACUAGAACAGGUACCUACCCCAUAACUAAUGUUCAAACCUAUGACGCGGGUCCCACUGUCCUGUUUCUUGUAACCUCAUCAACUAUCGCUUAAACAUCAGGUAGCUCCUCAUGUCUGUAAUCCUCCAAGACGUUACUGUUUCGCAUGGGCGCCGUUCUCGAGUGUACGUGAGGCAGUCUCUUGACGAGUUCACGUCGUUGUUUGCUCUCCCUUCCGUCGUCCAGAACUGUACUCCUGUUUCCAGUCCUCUUUUAGUGCCCACCUCGAAGCACUAAAGGUCUUCGCGACCCUCGCGCGGCGCUCCCUUCUAUCCUGUACCCAACUAGGUAAGUGAGCGAGUGCCUCUUUCUCCUCCUCGUCUGGUCGUCAUCUAAUCGUGUGAAAAGUCGAGUGUAAAAGAAGGAAAAAGUACACGAGGCCAGCUAAAACUCUGCGGCUUAUGAGCCGGCAGGUCAAGACACGUUUUAGAACACUUGGGGCAUACGAAUGUCCACUACAAAAGGUACGGAUAUACUCUUCUAUCCCGUCUAAGCUUACC
rnacentral:rRNA from 1 species